AACAAGGUGGCCUUGUAAAUUGUAAAUAAGAAGAAACAUGCUCCCAAAUUCGAGCCGGAGAGUAUCUCGAACAUGAGUGGGUGGUGUACACACCCACACACCCCACCGACUAAUCUAGGGUGAGUUCCUUAGAAUUCAGUUUACAAUACGAAUAAAAUUAAGUACAGUGAGCAUCUGGUGUGAAGAUCGCAAUGCAGGUAAACUCAGCAAUCUUCAAAAGUAUGAUAUAAUUAAUGAAAAAGGCAUCAUUGAGCAGAAAGAAGACAAAAUUACAUGUUGCUCCAUCAAUAAUCAGUAGAUGAAAUAAAACCACGUUAGGCACUAACGAGUAGUACGUUUAGAAUUUUUAUUAUACCUGAAACUGGAACGCUCUGAUUAUGGCAAUAAGAUCCUUCAAAAUAGCAAGAUCGCUGAUUUCUAUAGACAGUUUAUGUUAAAAAAAAUGUAUAUGAAACUUCUCUGCAAAAACAGCAGACCAAAACUUAAAGUUUCACUGGCAGAUCAUAAUCCACCAUUCCACCUCCUUCCCUCUACAGUGAAAGCUCACCUUCAAAAUCCAACUAAGCGAAGCAAAAGUUUGGAGUACGAAC
rnacentral:lncRNA from 1 species